CUGACCUCUGGCAUCCCUUGACUUUGGCUACACUUUGGUAAUCCUGACCUCUGGCAUCCUUUGACUUCGACUAUCCCUUGACUAUCCUGCUGUUUAUGUCCUUGUUGGUACUGCAUUGGAAUCCUUUCCUGCACAGCCCCCACGCACAGAUUCACAGUCCAGGUGGCUUCUUAUCUGGUCACCUUGGACUGUGUCUAUCUGCAAGGGUGAG